rnacentral:rRNA from 1 species
AGCGCAGGCGGGAAGGUAAGUCUAUCUUAAAAGUGCGGGGCUCAACCCCGUGAGGGGAUAGAAACUAUCAUUCUUGAGUGCAGGAGAGGAAAGCGGAAUUCCUAGUGUAGCGGUGAAAUGCGUAGAUAUUAGGAGGAACACCAGUGGCGAAGGCGGCUUCCUGGACUGUAACUGACGCUGAGGCUCGAAAGCCAGGGGAGCGAACG